CCCACCGAGCCAGGCCGCGCGACUGGCAAAACUUUCCACUCUUCACACCUUUUAGCAAACAAAGACAUUAACCUGCACUUACGGUUCCAAGGUUCUUUUAAAAGACCAUGAAGAAGAGAAAUUGCUUCAACAUUUAUCUUCAAUUCUGCCAAAUUUCUAGGAACCACCAUCUAAGCACUGCUUCAGGCAGAGCACAACAGCAAACCACAGGAAGCUCCAAGUGAUGCAGAAUGGAAGGGCAGGAACCUGUUUGCAAUUUUCAGGUGAGG